AUGCAUGUCUAAGUAUAAACGAUUUAAUCGUGAAACCGCGAAUGGCUCAUUAUAACAGCUAUAAUUUACUUGAUCUUGACACAAUCCUACUGGAUAACUGUGGUAAUUCUAGAGCUAAUACAUGCAUUAAAGCUCUGACCUCACGGGAAGAGUGCAUUUAUUAGAACAAAACCAAGCGGCUUCGGCUGUUUCUGGUUGACUCAUAGUAACUGAGCUGAUCGCAUGGUCUUGCACCGGCGACGUGUCUUUCAAGUAUCUGCCGUAUCAACUUUCGAUGGUAGUGUAUCUGACUACCAUGGUGAUCACGCGUAACGGAGAAUAAGGGUUCGGCUCCGGAGAGUUCGCCUGAGAAAUCGCGAACACA
rnacentral:rRNA from 2 species